UUUUCACCUUAGGGGGCGCUAUGGAGCCAUUUUGCAUUUUCUUGUUUGGGCGACUUCGGAAUAUCAAAUUUUUCACCAGGCCCGGUCGUCCUGCCAAAUUUCAUGAGUUUUCGCCAGUGGGAAGUGGGCCAUUUUCCAGUUCAAAGGGGAGGAAAAAUAACUAGGGCCCCGGUGGGGCACUGUCGGGCCCGAGCCGCGUUGCGCCGCCCCCAGCGCGACCGCCUCCCCCUCCCGAUCGCGUCACACUCAAGGUCCAAAGAUGGUGUGCGCACUUGUCUGUGGUCAUUUCCCAUUAUAAUGAAUGGGAGGCGCAGUUUCUACCAAAACACUCGCUGCAGACAAACUACAUGUCCUAUUUGAAAAAAGUCUGGACCAUGAGUGAGGGCACAAACACAGCUAGGAUAUAUCCAAACGGCAAGUUGCUCCUCGUUACGGUGUUGCCGGGAGAGUGAUGCGAUUGAGCCAUUGAGUGAUGGGCAGGAAAAACUUGACUGUUUCUCCUGCCAUGGGGGUUGGGGGAUGGGGGAUGUGGAUUCUUUUAAGAAUGUGGAUAUUUGGGUAAUCUUUGGCGCCCCCUAGAACAUAAACCGUGGGGUGCAGCGUCAUGAUUUUUAAAACUUUGAAUGGCCAUGGGGUGUAGAUUGGCCUGAGCAAAUUUGGUGUCAGUGGGACGAAAGCCUUAGGAGGAGUUAGCCACAUUCGAAUGUGUGCGAAUCGGCAAAAAAUGCAAAAUAGCCCUUUAACCGUACAUUUUACAGAUACGCGCGCAUUGACUUUUUCGUAGAUCUUAUUGAGAUACAUGUGAUUGUCAAAUUUUGUGUCAAUAUGACAAAGCGUACAGGUAUGACAGUCAACAAUGUGUUUUUUCAUCUUAUGGGACAAGAAAAAAUGGACUUUUUUCUCCUGCCAUGGGGGGGCGCUCUUUUGGGGAUUAAAAAUUCCUUCACAAAUGUGUUGAUGGCUGGACAUUGCAUCAUCCUAGAAAACUUGGAGGCCAGUGAGGGCAAAAAUAAAAAGUUAUAAGACUUUUAAAUAUGUGGAUUUUUGGGUUAUCUUUGGCGCCCCCUAGAACCUAAACCGUGGGGUGCAGCGUCAUGAUUUGAAUAACUUUUAAUGGCCAUGGGGUGUAAUUUGGCCUGAGCAAAUGUGGUGCCGGUGGAACGAAAGCCUUCGGAGGAGUUAGCGAAAUUCCAAUGUGUGCGAAUCGGCAAAAAAUGCGAAAUAACCCUUUAACCGUACAUUUGACAGAUACGCGCGCAUUGACUUUUUCGUAGAUCUUAUUGAGAUACAUGUGUGUGUCAAUUUUUGUGUCAUUUUGACAAAGCGUACAGGCGUGACACUCAACAAUGUGUAUUUUCACCUUAGGGGACAAGAAAAAAUGGACUUUUUUCUCCUGCCAUGGGGGGGCGCUCUUUUGGGGAGUAAAAAUUCCUUCACAAAUGUGUUGAUGGCUGGACAUUGCAUCAUCCUAGAAAACUUGGAGGCCAGUGAGGGCAAAAAUAAAAAGUUAUAAGACUUUUAAAUAUGUGGAUUUUAGGGUUAUCUUUGGCGCCCCCUAGAACGUAAACCGUGGGGUGCAGCGUCAUGAUUUGAAUAACUUUUAAUGGCCAUGGGGUGUAGAUUGGCCUGAGCAAAUGUGGUGCCGGUGGAACGAAAGCCUUCGGAGGAGUUAGCGAAAUUCCAAUGUGUGCGGAUCGGCAAAAAAUGCGAAAUAACCCUUUAUCCGUACAUUUUACAGAUACGCCCGCACUGACUUUUUUGUAGAUCUUAUUGAGAUACAUGUGUGUGUCAAAUUUUGUGUCAAUAUGACAAAGCGUACAGGCGUGACAGUCAAUAGUGUGAAUUUUCACCUUAGGGGGCGCUAUGGAGCCAUUUUGCAUUUUAUUGUUUGGGCGACUUCAGAAUAUCAAAUUUUUCACCAGGCCCGGUCGUCCUGCCAAAUUUCAUGAGUUUUCGCCAGUGGGAAGUGGGCCAUUUUCCAGUUCAAAGGGGAGGAAAAAUAACUAGGGCCCCGGUGGGGCACUGUCGGGCCCGAGCUGCGUCGCGCCGCCCCCAGCGCGACCGCCUCCCCCUCCCGAUCGCAUCACACUCAAGGUCCAAAGAUGGUGUGCGCACUUGUCUGUGGUCAUUUCCCAUUAUAAUGAAUGGGAGGCGCAGUUUCUACCAAAACGGUCGCUGCAGACAAACUACAUGUCCUAUUUGAAAAAAGUCUGGACCAUGAGUGAGGGCACAAACACAGCUAGGAUAUAUCCAAAUGGCAAGUUGCUCCUCCUUACGGUGUUGCCUGGCGUGCGAUGCGAUUGAGCCUUUGAGCGAUGGGCAGGGUUAACUGGACUUUUUCUCCUGCCUUGGGGGGGGGGGGGAUGUGGAUUCUUUUAAGAAUGUGGAUAUUUGGGUCAUCUUUGGCGCCCCCUAGAACGUAAACCAUGGGGUGCAGCGGCAUGAUUUUUACAACUUUGAAUGGCCAUGGGAUGUAGAUCGGCUUGAGCAAAUUUGGUGUCGGUGGGAAGAAAGCCUUAGGAGGAGUUAGCCACAUUCCAAUGUGUGCAGAUCUGCAAAAAAUGCGAAAUAGCCCUUUAACCGUACAUUUUACAGAUACGUGCCCAUUGACUUUUUCGUAGAUCUUAUUGAGAUACACGUGUGUGUCAAAUUUUGUGUCAUUUUGACAAAGCGUAUAGGCGUGACAGUCAACAAUGUGUUUUUUCACCUUAGGGGACAAGAAAAAAUGGACUUUUUUUCUCCUGCCAUGGGGGGGCGCUCUUUUCGGGAGUAAAAAUUCCUUUACAAAUGUGUUGAUGGCUGGACAUUGCAUCAUCCUAGAAAACUUGGAGGCCAGUGAGGACAAAAAUAAAAAGUUAUAAGACUAUUAAGAAUGUGGAUUUUUGGGUUAUCUUUGGCGCCCCCUAGAACCUAAACCGUGGAGUGCAACGUCAUGAUUUGUACAACUUUUAAUGGCCAUGGGGUGUAGAUUGGCCUGAGCAAAUUUGGUGGCGGUGGAACUAAAGCCUUCGGAGGAGUUAGUGAAAUUCCAAUGUGUGCGGAUCGGGAAAAAAUGCGAAAUAACCCUUUAACCGUACAUUUUACAGAUACGUGCCCAUUGACUUUUUCGUAGAUCUUAUUGAGAUACACGUGAUUGUCAAAUUUUGUGUCAAUAUGACAAAGCGUAUAGGCGUGACACUCAACAAUGUGUAUUUUCACCUUAGGGGACAAGAAAAAAUGGACUUUUUUCUCCUGCCAUGUGGGGGCGCUCUUUUGGGGAGUAAAAAUUCCUUCACAAAUGUGUUGAUGGCUGGACAUUGCAUCAUCCUAGAAAACUUGGAGGCCAGUGAGGACAAAAAUAAAAAGUUAUAAGACUUUUAAAAAUGUGGAUAUUUGGGUCCUCUUUGGCGCCCCCUAGAACGUAAACUGUGGGGUGCAGCGUCAUGAUUUGUACAAUUUUGAAUGGCCAUGGGGUGUAGAUUGACCUGAGCAAAUUUGAAGCCGAUGGGACAAAAGAUUUAGGAGGAGUUAGCGAAAUUCCAAUGUGUGCGGAUCGGCAAAAAAUGCGAAAUAACCCUUUAACCGUACAUUUGACAGAUACUUCCGCACUGACUUUUUUGUAGAUCUUAUUUAGAUACAUGUGUGUGUCAAAUUUUGUGUCAUUUUGACAAAGCGUAAAGGCGUGACAGUCAACAAUGUGUAUUUUCGCCUUAGGAGACAAGAAAAAAUGGACUUUUUUCUCCUGCCAUGGGGGGGGCGCUCUUUUGGCGAGUAAAAAUUCCUUCACAAAUGUGUUGAUGGCUGGACAUUGCAUCAUCCUAGAGAACUUGGAGGCCAGUGAGGACAAAAAUAAAAAGUUAUAAGACUUUUAAGACUGUGGAUUUUUGGGUUAUCUUUGGCGCCCCCUAGAACGUAAACCGUGGGGUGCAGUGUCAUGAUUUGUACAACUUUUAAUGGCCAUGGGGUGUAGAUUGGCCUCAGCAAAUGUGGUGCCUUUGGAACGAAAGCCUUCGGAGGAGUUAGCGAAAUUCCAAUGUGUGCGGAUCGGCAAAAAAUGCGAAAUAGCCCUUUCACCGUACAUUUGACAGAUACGCCCGCACUGACUUUUUUGUAGAUCUUAUUGAGAUACAUGUGUGUGUCAAUUUUUGUGUCAAUAUGACAAAGCGUAAAGGCGUGACAGUCAAUAGUGUGAAUUUUCGCCUUAGGAGACAAGAAAAAAUGGACUUUUUUCUCCUGCCAUGGGGGGGCGCUCUUUUGGGGAGUAAAAAUUCCUUCACAAAUGUGUUGAUGGCUGGACAUUGCAUCAUCCUAGAAAACUUGGAGGCCAGUGAGGACAAAAAUAAAAAGUUAUACGACUUUUAAGAAUGUGGAUUUCUGGGUUAUCUUUGGCGCCCCCUAGAACCUAAACCGUGGGGUGCAGCGUCAUGAUUUGAAUAACUUUUAAUGGCCAUGGGGUGUAGAUUGGCCUGAGCAAAUGUGGUGCCGGUGGAACGAAAGCCUUCGGAGGAGUUAGCGAAAUUCCAAUGUGUGCGGAUCGGCAAAAAAUGCGAAAUAACCCUUUAUCCGUACAUUUUACAGAUACGCCCGCACUGACUUUUUUGUAGAUCUUAUUGAGAUACAUGUGUGUGUCAAAUUUUGUGUCAAUAUGACAAAGCGUACAGGCGUGACAGUCAAUAGUGUGAAUUUUCACCUUAGGGGGCGCUAUGGAGCCAUUUUGCAUUUUAUUGUUUGGGCGACUUCAGAAUAUCAAAUUUUUCACCAGGCCCGGUCGUCCUGCCAAAUUUCAUGAGUUUUCGCCAGUGGGAAGUGGGCCAUUUUCCAGUUCAAAGGGGAGGAAAAAUAACUAGGGCCCCGGUGGGGCACUGUCGGGCCCGAGCUGCGUCGCGCCGCCCCCAGCGCGACCGCCUCCCCCUCCCGAUCGCAUCACACUCAAGGUCCAAAGAUGGUGUGCGCACUUGUCUGUGGUCAUUUCCCAUUAUAAUGAAUGGGAGGCGCAGUUUCUACCAAAACGGUCGCUGCAGACAAACUACAUGUCCUAUUUGAAAAAAGUCUGGACCAUGAGUGAGGGCACAAACACAGCUAGGAUAUAUCCAAAUGGCAAGUUGCUCCUCCUUACGGUGUUGCCAGGAGAGCGAUGCGAUUGAGCCAUUGAGCGAUGGGCAGGGUUAACUGGACUUUUUCUCCUGCCUUGGGGGGGGGGGGGGGGAUGUGGAUUCUUUUAAGAAUGUGGAUAUUUGGGUCAUCUUUGGCGCCCCCUAGAACGUAAACCAUGGGGUGCAGCGGCAUGAUUUUUACAACUUUGAAUGGCCAUGGGAUGUAGAUCGGCUUGAGCAAAUUUGGUGUCGGUGGGAAGAAAGCCUUAGGAGGAGUUAGCCACAUUCCAAUGUGUGCAGAUCUGCAAAAAAUGCGAAAUAGCCCUUUAACCGUACAUUUUACAGAUACGUGCCCAUUGACUUUUUCGUAGAUCUUAUUGAGAUACACGUGUGUGUCAAAUUUUGUGUCAUUUUGACAAAGCGUAUAGGCGUGACAGUCAACAAUGUGUUUUUUCACCUUAGGGGACAAGAAAAAAUGGACUUUUUUCUCCUGCCAUGGGGGGGCGCUCUUUUCGGGAGUAAAAAUUCCUUUACAAAUGUGUUGAUGGCUGGACAUUGCAUCAUCCUAGAAAACUUGGAGGCCAGUGAGGACAAAAAUAAAAAGUUAUAAGACUAUUAAGAAUGUGGAUUUUUGGGUUAUCUUUGGCGCCCCCUAGAACCUAAACCGUGGAGUGCAACGUCAUGAUUUGUACAACUUUUAAUGGCCAUGGGGUGUAGAUUGGCCUGAGCAAAUUUGGUGGCGGUGGAACUAAAGCCUUCGGAGGAGUUAGUGAAAUUCCAAUGUGUGCGGAUCGGGAAAAAAUGCGAAAUAACCCUUUAACCGUACAUUUUACAGAUACGUGCCCAUUGACUUUUUCGUAGAUCUUAUUGAGAUACACGUGAUUGUCAAAUUUUGUGUCAAUAUGACAAAGCGUAUAGGCGUGACACUCAACAAUGUGUAUUUUCACCUUAGGGGACAAGAAAAAAUGGACUUUUUUCUCCUGCCAUGUGGGGGCGCUCUUUUGGGGAGUAAAAAUUCCUUCACAAAUGUGUUGAUGGCUGGACAUUGCAUCAUCCUAGAAAACUUGGAGGCCAGUGAGGACAAAAAUAAAAAGUUAUAAGACUUUUAAAAAUGUGGAUAUUUGGGUCCUCUUUGGCGCCCCCUAGAACGUAAACUGUGGGGUGCAGCGUCAUGAUUUGUACAAUUUUGAAUGGCCAUGGGGUGUAGAUUGACCUGAGCAAAUUUGAAGCCGAUGGGACAAAAGAUUUAGGAGGAGUUAGCGAAAUUCCAAUGUGUGCGGAUCGGCAAAAAAUGCGAAAUAACCCUUUAACCGUACAUUUGACAGAUACUUCCGCACUGACUUUUUUGUAGAUCUUAUUGAUAUACAUGUGUGUGUCAAAUUUUGUGUCAUUUUGACAAAGCGUAAAGGCGUGACAGUCAACAAUGUGUAUUUUCGCCUUAGGAGACAAGAAAAAAUGGACUUUUUUCUCCUGCCAUGGGGGGGGCGCUCUUUUGGCGAGUAAAAAUUCCUUCACAAAUGUGUUGAUGGCUGGACAUUGCAUCAUCCUAGAGAACUUGGAGGCCAGUGAGGACAAAAAUAAAAAGUUAUAAGACUUUUAAGACUGUGGAUUUUUGGGUUAUCUUUGGCGCCCCCUAGAACGUAAACCGUGGGGUGCAGUGUCAUGAUUUGUACAACUUUUAAUGGCCAUGGGGUGUAGAUUGGCCUCAGCAAAUGUGGUGCCUUUGGAACGAAAGCCUUCGGAGGAGUUAGCGAAAUUCCAAUGUGUGCGGAUCGGCAAAAAAUGCGAAAUAGCCCUUUCACCGUACAUUUGACAGAUACGCCCGCACUGACUUUUUUGUAGAUCUUAUUGAGAUACAUGUGUGUGUCAAUUUUUGUGUCAAUAUGACAAAGCGUAAAGGCGUGACAGUCAAUAGUGUGAAUUUUCGCCUUAGGAGACAAGAAAAAAUGGACUUUUUUCUCCUGCCAUGGGGGGGCGCUCUUUUGGGGAGUAAAAAUUCCUUCACAAAUGUGUUGAUGGCUGGACAUUGCAUCAUCCUAGAAAACUUGGAGGCCAGUGAGGACAAAAAUAAAAAGUUAUACGACUUUUAAGAAUGUGGAUUUCUGGGUUAUCUUUGGCGCCCCCUAGAACGUAAACCGUGGGAUGCAGCGUCAUGAUUUGUACAACUUUUAAUGGCCAUGGGGUGUAGAUUGGCCUGAGCAAAUUUGGUGCCGGUGGAACGAAAGCCUUCGGAGGAGUUAGCGAAAUUCCAAUGUGUGCGGAUCGGCAAAAAAUGCGAAAUAGCCCUUUAACCGUACAUUUGACAGAUACGCCCGCACUGACUUUUUUGUAGAUCUUAUUGAGAUACACGUGUGUGUCAAAUUUUGUGUCAUUUUGACAAAGCGUACAGGCGUGACACUCAAUCAUGUGAAUUUUUCACCUUAGGGGGCGCUAUGGAGCCAUUUUGCAUUUGAUUUUUUGGGCGACUUCAGAAUAUCGAAUUUUUCACCAGGCCCGGUCGUCCUGCCAAAUUUCAUGACUUUUCACCAGUGGGAAGUGGGCCAUUUUCCAGUUCAAAGGGGCAGAAAAAUAAUAAGACUAGGACCCCGUUGGGGCACUGGCGGGCCCGCGCUGUGUCGCGCCCCCCCCCCCCCCCCUCUGGCCAUCGCCCUCUCUGGUAACGCCCAUCACUGCAAAGACCCUUUUCCUUCAUCGGCGUUUGCUGUUCUUCCUGCCAGUGCGUGUUGCUUUCACUUACACUUGCCACAGCCAGCCUCGUGAGUGCCUAGCCUAUUCGAUAUCACUGUCACCUACACAGGACAGUCAUUACCUUUCUAUUAAUACUUUGUUUUUUAAUUUCACAUUAAUUUCCAUAUUGUAUAAACAACUGGAAAAAACUUGAGCCCCUGCCCCUGUAUAAUCAUGUGCACGUCUCUGUUCUAGCUCUAAGGUGAAUCUUCACUGCUCAUGUUCUCCUCAGAAGCAGUCACCUCACUCCCCUCAGGUUACUGUACACAUGCACCAACUGCCUGCUUCAGGUUUGGAUGGAGCUUCAUGGUUGUCUUUUGGAGAAAUGACCAGUCAAGUUGUGUUUGAAAUUUGAUUUUUUUCAGGGGCAAAAGGAGCCUCUGCAUUCUUGUCAAAUAUGUAAAUAGCAUGUUUUUGCAGGUGCUAAAAACCAGACUCUGAGUGUGUGUGUGUGCUUGUGUGUGUGUGUCUGUGUGUGUGUGUGUGUGUGUGUGUGCGUUCAAGUCACAUGACAUAUUUAAACGGAUGUAGCUGCAAGACGGAGCCUCGUUGACUCUCCGUUUCAACUUAUCUCAAAAGUGAGGACCUCAACCUAUAUACCAGUUUUUAAAUUGUGUUGAUAGGCCAAAUAAAACCAGAGUUAUGAUAAAUUAUGUCCGUGAUACUUUUUUUCUGCUUAUUUUGAUCACGUUCUGCGCUGAUCGCGCUGUAUGAGACAGGAAAACAUAGCAUGCAGACAUUAGCGACAGGUCUUACAGGCGGAAAAGGCUUGCCAAAGGAAAAAAAAAACACACCACAACAUCUCUCCUAUUGGUGGAAAACUUCACCACAACAACCAAUCCAAAAUUAUAUGGUGACUGAUUGACAAGGGGCGGGCGCUUACGUUCUUCCUGCAAUAUGAGAAGGGAGGGAGGGAGGGACUCUCAGCAGGGAUGCAGUCUGGGACACGUAGUUGCAAACCUAGCGACUUUGUUGUUAGAUUCAAUGACUUUUCAGACCCCCUAAUGACUUUUUUUUUAGAAAGAAAGUGACUUUUAUCGACUUCUUCUGGAGUUUAGAGACUCUGACAUGAAGCAGGCUUUCCUUACUGAGGAGUUAGCAACGCUGCUAAGGGUGCAGAGCCACACAUGCGCUCCGAGCUCUGCAUGGGAGACUGAAGCUGACAGAGCUGCAGCAGUUAGCAGGUUUCACCCUCAGAGACCACCAGGGGUUCAUGUUGAGGCAUUUUAAUUUUUUUUUUUUUUUUUGCCAUAGACACUGUCAGCACAAUCUGCAGUUACACUAACAAAAAUGCUGCAAAAAACAAAGAAUUAUGGAAAAAUUACACAUGGACUAACAUAGAGGAGGAUCUACACAAGUUUUUUACAUCAUGUUUUACAUCAUGCAUCAUUAACAUCAUGUUUUUUUGUAGUGGCAUAAAUAAAAAGUGACAUUUGUGAGACUAUACAGUGUUUUGUAAAUAAUUUUACAAAGAACACCUGGGCCAUUGCCUGCAUUUUGAUGUAAAUAGAGGUAAAUUACUAUGUUCUUUGUUAAAAAUUUGCAUAUGUUUUGAAGUUUACAAUUUUUAUUUGAAGUUUAAGUUUUAAAAACAGUUCAUCACACAUAUUUGUGGUUUUCACAGUAAAAACGUUACUUUUUUCCACUCGGAUUUUAUGUUUUGUGUGUGAAUUUGGGUCCAAUGUGUAAAUAUAGUAUGUCAAAAUGAUAAAAUAACUGUAAAUUGACACAGGUGAGGUUGUGCUGAAAAAAAUGAUACCAGGCAAGGCAAGGUAAAAAUUUUGUAAGAGGAAAUAUAAAGGUAAAAUCUAAAGUAGUCAAAAACGGCCAAUAGUGACUCACAGACUCCACAGACAAGUCCCUUUGGCGCCACUCAGUGGGCAAAACUACUUUGUCUACUGUAAUGUAUAUUUGGGUCAUCUUUGGCGCACCCUAAAACGUAAACCGUGGGGUGCAGCGUCAUGAUUUUUACAACUUUGAAUGGCCAUGGAGUGUAGAUUGGCCUGAGCAAAUUUGGUGUCAGUGGGACGAAAGCCUUAGGAGGAGUUAGCGAAAUUCCAAUGUGUGCGAAUCGGCAAAAAAUGCAAAAUAGUCCUUUUACCGUACAUUAUACAGAUACGCGCUCUUUGACUUUUUCGUAGAUCUAAUUGAGAUACACAUGAUUGUCAAUUUUUGUGUCAUUUUGCCAAAGCGUACAGGCGUGACAGUCAACAAUGUGUAUUUUCACCUUAGGGGACAAGAAAAAAUGGACUUUUUUCUCCUGCCAUGGGGGGCGCUCUUUUAGGGAGUAAAAAUUCCUUCACAAAUGUGUUGAUGGCUGGACAUUGCAUCAUCCUAGAAAACUUGGAGGCCAGUGAGGACAAAAAUAAAAAGUUAUAAGACUUUUAAAAAUGUGGAUUUUUGGGUUAUCUUUGGCGCCCCCUAGAACGUAAACCGUGGGGUGCAGCGUCAUGAUUUGAAUAACUUUUAAUGGCCAUGGGGUGUAAUUUGGCCUGAGCAAAUGUGGUGCCGGUGGAACGAAAGCCUUCGGAGGAGUUAGCGAAAUUCCAAUGUGUGCGAAUCGGCAAAAAAUGCGGAAUAACCCUUUAACCGUACAUUUGACAGAUACGCGCUCAUGGACUUUUUUGUAGAUCUUAUUGAGAUACAUGUGUGUGUCAAUUUUUGUGUCAUUUUGACAAAGCGUACAGGCGUGACACUCAACAAUGUGUAUUUUCACCUUAGGGGACAAGAAAAAAUGGACUUUUUUCUCCUGCCAUGGGGGGGCGCUCUUUUGGGGAGUAAAAAUUCCUUCACAAAUGUGUUGAUGGCUGGACAUUGCAUCAUCCUAGAAAACUUGGAGGCCAGUGAGGGCAAAAAUAAAAAGUUAUAAGACUUUUAAAUAUGUGGAUUUUAAGGUUAUCUUUGGCGCCCCCUAGAACCUAAACCUUGGGGUGCAGCGUCAUGAUUUUGAUAACUUUUAAUGGCCACGGGGUGUAGAUUGGCCUGAGCAAAUGUGGUGCCGGUGGAACGAAAGCCUUCGGAGGAGUUAGCGAAAUUCCAAUGUGUGCGGAUUGGAAAAAAAUGCGAAAUAACCCUUUAACCGUACAUUUGACAGAUACGGCCGCACUGACUUUUUUGUAGAUCUUAUUGAGAUACAUAUGUGUGUCAAUUUUUGUGUCAAUAUGACAAAGCGUACAGGCGUGACAGUCAAUAGUGUGAAUUUCCACCUUAGGGGGCGCUAUGGAGCCAUUUUGCAUUUUAUUGUUUGGGCGACUUCAGAAUAUCGAAUUUUUCACCAGGCCCGGUCGUCCUGCCAAAUUUCAUGAGUUUUCGCCAGUGGGAAGUGGGCCAUUUUCCAGUUCAAAGGGGAGGAAAAAGAAGAAAGAAAGAAAGAAAGAAAGAACUAGGACCCCGUUGGGGCACUGUCGGGCCCGAGCCGUGUCGCGCCGCCCCCAGUGCGACCGCCUCCCCCUCCCGAUCGCGUCACACUCAAGAUCCAAAGAUGGUGUGCGCACUUGUCUGUG